rnacentral:rRNA from 3 species
AAUCCAGAGAUGGAUUUGUGCCUUCGGGAACUGUGAGACAGGUGCUGCAUGGCUGUCGUCAGCUCGUGUUGUGAAAUGUUGGGUUAAGUCCCGCAACGAGCGCAACCCUUAUCCUUUGUUGCCAGCGGUCCGGCCGGGAACUCAAAGGAGACUGCCAGUGAUAAACUGGAGGAAGGUGGGGAUGACGUCAAGUCAUCAUGGCCCUUACGACCAGGGCUACACACGUGCUACAAUGGCGCAUACAAAGAGAAGCGACCUCGCGAGAGCAAGCGGACCUCAUAAAGUGCGUCGUAGUCCGGAUUGGAGUCUGCAACUCGACUCCAUGAAGUCGGAAUCGCUAGUAAUCGUGGAUCAGAAUGCCACGGUGAAUACGUUCCCGGGCCUUGUACACACCGCCCGUCACACCAUGGGAGUGGGUUGCAAAAGAAGUAGGUAGCUUAACCUUCGGGAGGGCGCUUACCACUUUGUGAUUCAUGACUGGGGUGAAGUCGUAACAAGGUAACCGUAGGGGAACCUGCGGUUGGAUCACCUCCUUACCUUAAAGAAGC